CUCAGCAGGCCCCAGCAAGCCAGGAAGGAGGCUGGCAGAGCUCCCUGCAGCAGACCCUCCUUGCAGCAGAGCAGACCAUCCAGCACAGCUUUUGCAUGUUUUUGACUGGGAACACCUUGUUAAUCAGGUUCCAUCCCCUGCAUUUUCCAAAUAAAUAAAUGGGAAGCAAGCAAGUCCUCUUGCCACAUUAGCUGGGAGAGAGUGUCGUGACAUUGGCAAUGAAAGAAGCUUCACUUGUGAACAGUAACAUAAAUCAGCCAAUGAGGCAGAAGUGGUGAUAAUUAAAACAAUUUUCAAGUCAAUUGUGAAAA